rnacentral:rRNA from 1 species
CCUACGGGUGGCAGCAGUGGGGAAUAUUGGGCAAUGGGCGCAAGCCUGACCCAGCAACGCCGCGUGAAGGAAGAAGGCUUUCGGGUUGUAAACUUCUUUUCUCAGGGACGAAGAAAGUGACGGUACCUGAGGAAUAAGCCACGGCUAACUACGUGCCAGCAGCCGCGGUAAUACGUAGGUGGCAAGCGUUAUCCGGAUUUAUUGGGUGUAAAGGGCGUGUAGGCGGGAGCGCAAGUCAGAUGUGAAAACUCAGGGCUCAACCCUGAGCCUGCAUUUGAAACUGUGUUUCUUGAGUGCUGGAGAGGCAAUCGGAAUUCCGUGUGUAGCGGUGAAAUGCGUAGAUAUUAGGAGGAACACCAGUGGCGAAGGCGGUCUGCUGGACAGCAACUGACGGUGAGGCGCGAAAGCGUGGGGAGCAAACAGGAUUAGAUACCCGGGUAGUC